ACACUGUUAGAAAAAGAGGUACAAUACAGGUCCAUUUUUGUUCCCUAAGGUACAAACUUUGCAUAUGUACCCUUAAAAGUACAAAAAUGUAUCUUUAAGGUACAAUUGUGCACCUUUAAGGUACAAUUAUGCACCUUCCAUUGUACAUUGUGAGCUUUUCGAGGUGUAAGGUACAUAUUUGUCCCUUACAUAUUUGUACCUUAAUGUUUAAAUAUAAAAUGGCAGGAAUUAGUGGAUGCUGAAAAUGUCAUCUCUCAAUAUAGAAACACAAGUUAACCUAUACUAUCAAACUCAAUAAUUGUCAAACUAAAUUAACUGUAAAGUUUUGAGAUAUGGGCAAAAUAAAUCAGAAUGUGUAAAGUUUUGAGAUAUGGGCAAAAUAAAUCAAUGUUUUUUUUUGUUUUUGUUUUUUUUUGUGAAGUGUCCCUUUGAAUCAUUUUUAAUCAUGUUAAUGAGGAUUAUGUAAUGUUUAAGUUGUGUUCUAUUGAAAGGAUCUAGCUACAGGCUAACCAGAGUUUGACUCGGCGGAAGCAUAAAUAUUGCAGCGCGGAAGGAUACAUGAGUGAAUCGACAGUGAUCCAACUGUCAGUCUCUGUCAGUGUCGAUCAAAGGUGGGAGGAUGGCGCUUCGACAUUUAUCCACGGAAGAUUUAAUCACGGAGUUAUUUAAUUUUGGGAUAGAGGUCACUGAAGAGGAAAGAAGUAAAUUCAAAGAUAAUGAAGUUGACGGAGAAGCAGUGGACUAUGGAUUGACUGAGAGGAUGAUUUCAUGCCUCUUUGAAGGAUCGUUUAAGAAGCAAGCCAAAUUCAACCGAUUUGUUCAGCAGUUCUAAACAUAUACACAGAUUGGGCGUUAUGUGGAAAACUAUUAAUUCCUCUUUCUUUCUGUCAUCACUAUUACGCCUACUUGGUGAAAUAUAAACAGGACUGGACUGUCCUUGACCCUUUUGAGGUGAUGGAUUUUCAUGCUUUGGAUACAAACUGUGUCGAUGAUAAACUGUUUGUUAGUAUGCGGCAUUUAUGUUAAGCUGUGUUGGGAGGGUUGUAGAGCGUUGUGGAUGAGCUCAAAGCUUGUGUUUUUUAAUCCAGAACACAUCAAGUGUAGUUUAUCCGUUAAGUGACACUUUUUUUUUUCGUGUGGUGUGCUAAAGUGUUUUGCUUGGUCUUUGAUAAUAAACUUAUGUUUUUCUGCACUAUAUUGCUGUUCUUAUUAGUGAUGUUCAUGAAAUUGAAAGAAGGAAAAUAUAAAUGGUUCCAUUGUAUUUAUUCCCUGCUAUGCAUCUAUUCUCUGAUAUCGCUGUUCAUUUUGUUUUUGGAGUGGCAGUAAGUUGUCAGUUGGUCAGUGAAAUGCUUCUUAAAAAAUGUAAUUAAUUAUUUUUAAUGUUUUUUUAUAUCAGACAUGACAUCCUAAACAUUGUGGCAUUUUAUUUU
ensembl:lncRNA